rnacentral:rRNA from 1 species
GGAAUAUUGGUCACUGGACGCAAGUCUGAACCAGCCAUGCCGCGUGCAGGAUGACGGUCCUAUGGAUUGUAAACUGCUUUUGUACGAGAAGAAACACUACUUCGUGAAGUAGCUUGACGGUAUCGUAAGAAUAAGGAUCCGCUAACUCCGUGCCAGCAGCCGCGGUAAUACGGAGGAUCCAAGCGUUAUCCGGAAUCAUUGGGUUUAAAGGGUCCGUAGGCGGUUUAGUAAGUCAGUGGUGAAAGCCCAUCGCUCAACGGUGGAACGGCCAUUGGUACUGCUAGACUUGAAUUAUUAGGAAGUAACUAGAAUAUGUAGUGUAGCGGUGAAAUGCUUAGAGAUUACAUGGAAUACCAAUUGCGAAGGCAGGUUACUACUAAUAUAUUGACGCUGAUGGACGAAAGCGUGGGUAGCGAAC